rnacentral:rRNA from 1 species
UACGUAGGGUCCGAGCGUUGUCCGGAGUUACUGGGCGUAAAGCGCGCGCAGGCGGCGGUGCUGGCCCGGCGUGAAAGCCCCCGGCUCAACCGGGGAGGGUCGUCGGGGACCGCACCGCUUGAGGGCGGUAGGGGCUGGUGGAAUGCCUGGUGUAGUGGUGAAAUGCGUAGAGAUCAGGCGGAACACCCGUGGCGACGGCGGCCAGCUGGGCCGUCCCUGACGCUGAGGCGCGAAGGCGUGGGGAGCGAACGGG